GCGGGUGUAGUUCAAUGGUAGAACUUCAGCUUCCCAAGCUGAUAGCGUGGGUUCGAUUCCCAUCACCCGCUCCA
rnacentral:tRNA from 53 species